rnacentral:lncRNA from 1 species
CGUUUACUUAGCUAUUUCGCCUUUAAGUCUCAAAAUACACAGAUUCUUAUAGUCUGAGUGGAACAAGUGAUCAAACACAACAUAUACUUGUUUAACAUUCCCAACACCCAUAUACAAUCCACAUAGUAUCUACGGAGCCUCUAAAGAUACAAAAGAGAGUAAAGAUGGUGCCGACAACAAGGCCCCGGCUAUACCUCAAAAAGUGACCACAAUAUAAACAAAAGGUACAAUACAUAACCCUGGAAUGAAAUGGGGCUCACCGAGUCCGCUGAGAAGAGGAUGCAGUACUAUCUGUGAUCAACAUUGUCCUAUGUAACCACCUGCAUCCAAUUAAAGAUGCAGAGCCCCCGGCAAAAGGGAUGUUAGUACCGUCGAAUAGCACUAGUAUGUAAAGCUAAAUACCAACUCAAUAGAAUGAAUAAUAAUACAAGAGGAACAGUCAAGAAUUCAACAAGGGCUUCAAAUAAUAUUAGAACAACAAGUUAAGGAUCAUAUACAUUUUCAAGUCAAUUUCCAUAUUAUUAGGUUGACUGAUCUUUAGUACCGAUAUUCCACAAUUUACAAUACUUCCGUAUUCUUACACGGAGUCCGAUCUCGACUCGAUCGGCUAGGUCAUCUCAUUUGAGACAUUACCACAAUUGUGUUAUAAUUUCCAGCACAGUACCACCAUGUGUGCAGCAUGGCGUCCGAUCACGGCUCGAUCGGCUAGGCCAUCUCAUUGAGACAUUAUCCAUUUUCACAAUUUCAUCCACAAUACCACCGUGUUCUUACACAGAAUCCGAUCUCGGCCCGAUCGGCUAGGCCAUCUCAUUUGAGACAUUACCUUUUUCAGUCAAUCAUUUUACAUCGUACUUCUUUCAUAUACUUUCAAUUCAUUGGCACUAGUGAUUACGAUUACAAAGUCAUUCUCGGCACUUGGCCGUAUUUCAUAGUUGCAGUCCCUUUUUUCCACAUUUAAACAUCAUUAUCAUUAUCCACAACAAUAAGGCUUCCCAUUGAAGACAUUAGAUUCACAUAUGAGCAAUUUGGGAAUCUUAGACACAUAGAUACUUUUCCUACAAUUUGGCAUAACAACUUUUAUUUCGAUCUUGACAUGAAGUCUUAACAUUCCUAACACAUAUUUCACAUUUUGAACAUAUUUUUAAAUGGAAAGAUGACAUGAUGAAGCAUUUAGAAUAAACAUUGAACAAACAUCCUUCAACAUAACCACAUUAGGAACAACCAAUUCAAUAAUGAUCAAGGACUUACUCCAAUUACAUGAACACCAUGGGAUUCGAUUCUAAGAAGAAGGGGUUUUAGCCAACAUAUCUCAAUUGAGCUUCUCAAACUCUAAAAUGACCCGGAAUUCUUAGAAACUUCAAUCUAUUUUAGAAAUAUAACAAGUUGGACCAAAAUUAGGAAGAUGAACAUGGUUUUAGCUCAUUUGAUCAUAUUAUCAAAUACUAGAUGUGCAUCAAUGUUUUAAGGCCCUUUUUGUGGAAGAUUCCAUCAUUCCCCAACCCAUUCUCUAUCAUUUUUAGCUCACAAUCUUCCCACAUACUACAAGGAUACAUGCAUGCAAGGUAAGCACUCCCAUCCCUNNNNNNNNNNNNNNNNNNNNNNNNNNNNNNNNNNNNNNNNNNNNNNNNNNNNNNNNNNNNNNNNNNNNNNNNNNNNNNNNNNNNNNNNNNNNNNNNNNNNNNNNNNNNNNNNNNNNNNNNNNNNNNNNNNNNNNNNNNNNNNNNNNNNNNNNNNNNNNNNNNNNNNNNNNNNNNNNNNNNNNNNNNNNNNNNNNNNNNNNNNNNNNNNNNNNNNNNNNNNNNNNNNNNNNNNNNNNNNNNNNNNNNNNNNNNNNNNNNNNNNNNNNNNNNNNNNNNNNNNNNNNNNNNNNNNNNNNNNNNNNNNNNNNNNNNNNNNNNNNNNNNNNNNNNNNNNNNNNNNNNNNNNNNNNNNNNNNNNNNNNNNNNNNNNNNNNNNNNNNNNNNNNNNNNNNNNNNNNNNNNNNNNNNNNNNNNNNNNNNNNNNNNNNNNNNNNNNNNNNNNNNNNNNNNNNNNNNNNNNNNNNNNNNNNNNNNNNNNNNNNNNNNNNNNNNNNNNNNNNNNNNNNNNNNNNNNNNNNNNNNNNNNNNNNNNNNNNNNNNNNNNNNNNNNNNNNNNNNNNNNNNNNNNNNNNNNNNNNNNNNNNNNNNNNNNNNNNNNNNNNNNNNNNNNNNNNNNNNNNNNNNNNNNNNNNNNNNNNNNNNNNNNNNNNNNNNNNNNNNNNNNNNNNNNNNNNNNNNNNNNNNNNUGAUAGAAUCUUACCUCUUAGGAAGAAGACCUAGGUGCCUUUCUUGAUAAUCUUCAAGGUUUUAAGUGAGAAUUGAAUAGCAAAUUGAUGAAGUUCACUUCCUUCCUCUAGGACCCUCCCUCUCACUCUAAAAAUAUCAGAAAAUAUGAUCAAAAUGGUCCAAGAUAAGCGUUUUAUUGGAAUAGGGUCGGGUUUAAACAUCUCAAAAAUGAAGCACCAGAACAGGUUCUGCGGUCGCAUAUGCGACCGCAUAAUGGUUAUGCGGUCCGUGAAAUGACCGCGGAAUUGGGGUGCCAAAACUGGAAAAAAUAACUGACCGGGUCUGCGGUCACUAUGCGGCCCGCAAACCUGUUCUGCGAUCGCAUAAUGCACUGCAGAACGGUUCUGCGAUCGCAUAGUGCACCGUAGAACCUCCCACCGAAAUAUCUCAAGGCGGGAUCUGCAACAAGAGUGCGGCCCACGAAACGGUUAUCCGGUCUCAUAAUGGCCGCGAAAUUGACAACAAAAAUGCCCCAGAAAACUGUCCCACUCUGCGACCAGUCUGCAGUCCGCAGAGUAGUUCUGCUGCCGUAGAAUGGGCCGCAGAAAUGCCUACUUCUGUCCAACAUUUUUCAUCAAAUCCCUAGCGCAAGGUUCAAUCCAAAAAGUCCGAAGAAGAAUUUCUACUAAUAUUAACCUCUACGCCUACUAUGGCAUCACGAAAUCCGGGUUUUUAGGAAAACAAUUAUGGGGCCUUACAGUUGGUCCUUGAUGUGGCUCACAGUUUACGCUAUUCCAUUCAUCCAGGUAUCACGAAGAUGUAUCGUGACUUGAAAUAACACUAUUGUUGGCGGAGAAUGAAGAAAGAUAUUGUUGAUUAUGUAUCUUGGUGUUUGAAUUGUCAACAAGUGAAGUACGAGCAUCAGAAAUUGGUUGGGUUGACUCAGAGAUUGGAGAUACCAGAGUGGAAGUGGGAGCGCAUCACUAUGGAUUUUGUGGUAUAAUUACCAUGGAUCUUUAGGAAAUAUGACGCAUUCUGGGUUAUUGUGGACCGAUUGACUAAGUCCGUACACUUCAUUCCGGUGAUGACUUCCUAUUCAUCAGAGCGGUUGGCUUAGAUUUACAUCCGGGAGAUUAUCGCUUGCACGGCGUACCCAUUUCCAUCAUUUCUAACCGAGGCACGUAGUUCACAUCGCAUUUUUGGAGAGUCGUGCAGUGUGAGUAAGGCACAUAGGUCGAGCUCAGUACCGCAUUUCAUCCUCAGAUGGACGGACAGUCCGAGCGCACUACUCAGAUGUUGGAGUAUAUGUUGCGGGCAUGCUCUAUGUAUUUCCGGGGUGUCAGUGGGACCAGUUUUUACCUCUAGUGGAGUUUGCCUACAAUAAUAGCUAACAGUCGAGUAUCCAGAUGGCUCCAUAUGAGGCUUUAUAUAGGAGGCGAUGUCGUUCGCCGAUUGGUUGGUUUGAGCCCGGAGAGGCUAGAUUGUUGGGCAAUGAUUUGGUCCGUGAUGAUUUGGAGACGGUUGAGGUGAUUCAGUAGUGACUUUGUACAGCUCAGUCCAGGCAGAAGAGUUAUGCGAAUAGGAAAGUUCGAGAUGUGGCUUACAUGGUGGGUGAGAAGGUUCUUCUCUGAGUGUCGCCUAUGAAGGGCGUGGUGGAGUUUAGGAAAAAGGGCAAGUUGAUCCUGAGGUUUAUUGGCCCGUUCGAGAUCUUGUAUAUAGUUGAGGAGGUUGCUUAUAGGCUUGCAUUUCCUCCUAGCCUAGCAGGGGUACAUACAGUGUUUCACGUUUCCAUGCUUCGGAAGUACCAUGAGGAUAGAUCACAUGUUUUGGACUUCAUCAUGGUGCAGCUUGAUGAAAAUAUUUGACCUAUGAGGAAGAGUCGAUGGCUAUUCUAGACCGUCAAGUCCAUAAGUUGAGAUCUAAGAGUUUUACUUCCAUGAAAGUGUAAUGGAGAGGUCACCUGAUUGAGGAGGCCACGUGAAAGUCUGAGUCUAAUAUGCAGAGUAGAUACCCCCACCUUUUUACCCGUCCAACUACUUUUCUAUGUCUGUUCGAGGGAGAACGUUUCUUUUAAAAAUAGAGAAUGUGAUGACCCAGUAGGUUGUUUUGAGUACUAGACUUAAUUUUUGUGUUGUGAGACCUCAUAUAGCUUCAUUAAAUAUUAUUGAUUUGCGUGCAUGGUCUGUGUCACUUUUCAGAAAGUAUUUUUGUAAUAUUUUGAAGAAAAAGUGAUUUUUUGAAUUAAAAUAAGGCUACAGUUGACCACGGUCAACGUUUGUGGUAAACAACCUUCGAUCGGUGUUUUGACGAUUCUGGUAGUUUCGUAUGAUAUUUUUAGAAUUAUAUGCAUGUUUGGUUGGGGUCCCGGGUGACCCGAGCAUGUAUUGGCGCAUUAUGUGAAAGAUUGUGGAAAAUGAGUUCUUAAGUUAAAAGCUUGAGUUUUAAUGAUCGAUUCUUGUUAUUUGAUGUUAUUAGGAUGAUUUAAGGUAGUGAGCAAGUUUGUAUGAUGUUAUUAUACUUGUGUGCAUAUUUGGUUUAGAGCCCGAGGGGCUCAGGUGAGUUUUGGAUGUGUUACAGAUGGGUUUUGUAACUGUUGGUGCUCAACAGGUUCUAGUGCAAGCCUACAUCAGAUCUCGCAUUUGUGAGGUCUGGCUCAUAUAUCUGAGGUCUGGCGCGCAUUUGUGAGCAUCGCUUUUGCGGCCAAAUGAUUGCAUUUGCGAAAGGCACUAGGAUUGAGGAGCUUUUCAUUCGCGAAGGAGGAGAUACUUUUGCGAAGGCUGAGAAAUUGCAAAUGCGACUGGGGUCUUGCAUUUGCUACUCUCACGGCUUUGGGGGAAGCUUCGGAAAAGUGAAGCUUCGUUCGUAUUUGCAGAGGGAGGGACCUUCGCAAAUGCGAAGGUUUUGUUGUAUUUGCGACUUUUGUAUAUAUGAUGCACUGAUUGUACUUGCGAUCGGUGUGUCGAAUUUGCGGUCAUCGCAAUUUCGAACAAGAGUUCGCAAUUGCAACAUCUGCAGCUGGGUAAAUGUUUGGAAAAUCAAUAUUUAGCUCAUUUUACACCAUUUUUCAACCCUAAGCUCUCUAGAGGCAAUAUUUGAAGAACUGUUUCUCGCCAAAUUCAUUGGUAAGCAUCUUCAACUACUUUUCAAUCAAUUUCAACUACUUUUCAUGAAUUUUUAUCAAAUCUAUGAAUUUCAUGGUAGAAAUUAGGGGCUUUGGGUUUAAUUUAGGUAUUUUACAAAAUUGACAUUUAGACCUCAAAUUGAGGUUGGAUUUCAAAACAAAUUACAUAUCCGGGCUCGAAGGUGAAUGGGUAAUUGGAAUUUGGUCCGGAUCUCCGAUUUUGACCAAGCGGGCUCGGGGUUGACGUUUGUUGACUUUUGCAAUUUUAUUAAAGAUUGAACCUUUUUCACUCGUAAGUAGUUUCUGAAGCUUAUUUUGGACUGUUUGAAUGAUAUUGCUAGAUUCGGUUGGUUUGGAGGCUUGUUCUAAAGGAAAGGUUGUGGUUGAUUAUUAAUUUGAUUGCGGAAAGACUUAAAUAUCGUGUUUAACUUUGACUUGUGGGAAAUAGGACUUGUUGAUCUAUUUUCUACGUGAAUUAUGUGUGGGGAUGGCAUAUAUGCGAGAUGACUAAUGUAUAUGUGUUGUAAUGUGUUAAAGCAUGUGGGUUGGGCUAUUUACCUUUAUGUCAUCACUUAGACUAUUUUAGGUCUCGUUACAUGCUUUGAUUUUCACAUGUCCUUACUUGAUAUUCAUGCCUUACUUGUUAUCUGUCAUUAAUUACAUGUUUCGGUUUUUUCACUCUUCAAUCAAUAUCUGCUUACCUGCUAUAUGUUCCUACCUGUAUUAAUUACAUAUCUUCAUUAUUUCAUGCAUGUACUUGCCUUUAUUAUCUUUACCUUACUUGUUACACUUUAUUAUGUUGUGUUCGAUUGUGGAAGUCCUUUAGAUAUUCUUUUAUUAAUGAAAAAUCGAGGUUUGUGAAUAUGAGGUAUUGAUUAUUCUCUGUUUGUACUGGUAGUGUCGAGGUGUUCUACACGCUUUAUUUCCUUUUAUUCUGAGAUUACAGAAUUUAGUUGUGUUGAGUUGCUCAUGUUGAUGAGUUGAUAUUGGCAACGGGUUGCGCGCUGCAAUAAUAUUGAAAUGAAUUGAUAAUGGGAAUGAGUUACAUGUUGCAACAUAUAUUGAUGUGAUAUUGGGAUCGGGUUACACGCCACAAUAGAUUUUGUGAUAACGUUGGGGUCGGGUUGUGCUCCACAACGGAGUAUGAUAUGUUGUAACUAUUUGUAGCUGUAGUGCUCUAUUUAUGUACUAAUAUAUGAAGUCAUGAGAUGAUGUUAUUCUGGGGGCCUCUAUUAUUUGACCUUUGGGUCCCGUUCUUAUGAGUUUACUGCUUUAUCUAUAUUUCUAUUGUCUUUUAUUUUUAUUCGUAGAGGUUUAUAGGGAGUGUCAUGUCAGCCUAGUCACUACUUCUUCGAGGUUAGGCUCGACACUUACAGAGUACAUGGGAUCGGUUGUACUCAUACUAUACUUCUGCACUUCUUGUGUAGAUCCCGGCAUUGGUCAUAGCGGCGCAUAAAGGAGAUUGUUAGGAUCCGACUUCCUGUCAGGAGACUUGAGGUAGAGUUGCACGGUGUUCGUACCCCUUAUGUCCCCGUCUAUCUUGUUUUACUGUUUAUCUAGCUUCAGUCAAUUGUAUUUCAUUUCAGACCAUGUUUGUAGUAUUCUAGACGCUCAUGUACUUGUGACUCCAACUUUCUGGGAUUAGUAUAGAAUGCAUUACUUAUGUAAUUAUUUCAUGUAUUUCUGAGAUUAUCAAUCGUUAAUUAUCAUUAUUCUAUUUUUAAAUUGCUAAAAUUAGUUAAUUCUUUAGCUAAUGUUGGCUUGCCUAGCAAUUGAACGUUAGGUGCCAUCACGGCCCCGAGGUCGGAAUUUCGGAUCGUGGCAUAUCUUCUCCUUAACAGAUGCUAUAACAUUGAAAUCCCCUGUAACACACCAAGGAAAAGUGUAAAUAGAGGAUUUGUAUCUUAGUACAUCCCACUAAUGUCUUCUUAGAACAUGUUUGAAUUUGGCAUAAAUAACUGUAAUGUUUAAAAUGUUCUCAUCUUCUACAUGUCACAUCUCCAAGGAUAAAUGUUUUUCAUCAUGAACAAUAACCUUAGCUGUGAAUUCUUUAUCCCUAAAAACCAUUAUUUUGUCAAUAACAUUUGAAGCCGCUUGAUGCAUGGAAAGCUGUAUUUUGAAGAGGUUGAUAUAUGAGUUAUCAAGAAAGGGUUCAAGAAUAGCAAUGAAGGAAAGUUUGUGGAUUUGUUUUAGGAAUCUGAGCCUCUCAAUGGCUCUAGAGGUCUUAAUACCUCUUGCAUUCCAAAUGAUUGUACUAAUCAUUAGAGAUGGGAUAGGGUUUUGGAUUUUGAUGGGAUGUUCCAUUGACUGCUUUAACAAGGAGGUUGCAAUGAUCAUCAUCAUCAAAAUCCUCAUUACAUUCAUUUUUAUCUUAUGUGAUUCCCAAAGUCUCAUCUUCAUAUUAGAUAGGUUUAUACUCAGCCUCUUCUGGGCAUGUUGGAGAAAAUAUAUUCAAAGGACACAUUUCAAUGAUUGGCUCAAAUGAGUUUUUGUGACUACGGCCAGGAAUUCCUGUUGCUUGGGUAGUUGUUGCGGGAAUUAUUUUUGUACCAUCAUAUUAUGCAGGUUGAGGAUCAUCUGGGGGUUUAUCAAUAUCAUUACAACAGUCAUCUCCUUUAUCCACUAACAGUGGUUGGAGGAGGGUAUUAACAACCUGAUUAGCAUUCUAUAAUUUACUGGUCCUAACCGAGAUAUCAGAGCCAUCAAUACCAUAAUCAGGAAUCCACUUCUGUUGAACUCCUGGGCUUUGGGAGGUAGUAUGAGCCUUUGUAUUGUGACCGCCAGUGUUGACAUUGAUUGUUGCUGCUAUUUGUCCAUUCCUCUUUUCAAAACUCUUCUCUUCUCUUCUUUUAACUAGGAUUGUUUUGGAUUUGGGAGCCUGGAUAUGAAAAUCUGAUGCCACAUGAUCUUUGCACAAUCUUAAUUGGUCUCAUAUUGUUCUUCCUUUGAACUACUAAUCUUAAUACUCUAAUCUUCAAUAGUAUGUAGAUUGGUAGGUUGAGCAGUAGUUGCAGGAGAUAUGUGGUCCACACUAUGGUCUGUCAGUGGUGCUAAAGCACACGUAUGCAAAAUAGGAAGAAUCCCCACCUUUUUUGGAUCCCCUUUCUUAACAUCUAUAGGUACAUCCUGACAGUCUCCCUUUCCUCCACAGACUUCAUCAACAUAAUUCAAUUUAUGGGGAAUGGGGAUACAAGAAUUAUGAUCCUAAGCAACAGGAUCAGCACCCCUCUCCAUAUUAUAUGGAGGAUCUCUAUGAGGUUCAGAAGUUUUACCUGAGGGAAACCAUCAUUUGAUUGUUGCACAUUCAUUGAGCCUGGUUUGGCAUUUAUAGUGGAAUUUUUUGUUACAACAUUCCUUUGUGUUCCUGAUGUCUACUUUGGUAGAGGAGUUUGGUACCGCUUCUUGUUGUUCUGCCCCCUAAAGUGCCAUUUUUUAGUUUGCCAAUCAUCUGUUGAAGGUUUGAGCCUUGUAUUUGGGUUUUACUUCCCUUUCUGGUAUUCUCCAACUUUGAGAUCCCUGAUGUGAUUAAUUUUCUAGUUUUCUUAAUUCUGCUGGCUAGAUGGAUGUUUCUAUGAACUUGAGGAGUUGGUCUUCAUCUCUACUCUAGCUUUGCCCUAUUGUUGUUGGUCUUCCGUGCUUACUUCAUACAUAGUGGUUUCCUUUCUCCUCUUGUUUUCUUCAUCCUUGAUUCUGGUAGGGCAUGCAUGCAUGUUAUAAUCCAGGUGCUUGCAGUACAAACAAUAAUGAGAGAUAUUUUCAUAUUAGAUUUCAAGCCAUUUCCCUUCUCCAUUAUCAUCAUGAUUGUCAUCAAACCCCAGCCACACAUGAUGAGGCCUAGAUCUGGUCAAGUCAAACUCUACUUUAACUUUGACCACACUUUUUCUAAUCUUUUGAAAGGAUGCUAAGUCAAAAUGCAAAAUUGUUCCUACGGGAGAUAAGAGACCUAUGAGAAUCUCCAUGUAGUAGAAAUUCCAAGGUAGUUCUGGUUUAACAACCCAUAUAGGAACUAUAGGUGAGCCUUUAGUGGGAUUGAAAGUAGGAGUCCAGGCUUCCAAUUUCAUCUUUGCCCUUAUAUGUACAUGAAUUGUCUAGUCCAAACAGUGAAAUGAUCAUACUCAUUGCCUAAAUCAAUGUUGACGGUUCUAGCAUUGAACUGAGCAAUUUUAACUCCUCCUUGUAGUUUAGUUUGAGCCACAAAAUUUCUUCUGAUAACUUCCAUCCUAGGCAUAAUAUUAGAGAACAUUGCAACCACAAUGAAUUUACAUCUAGUUUCAAGUUUAACCAUGUGAUCUUCUCUAGUGAAGUGGACAAAAGGCUAGCUUUGCUUUGUGGUGAUCCUUGGAGGUGUGAACUCUAUAGGUUCUCUUUCUGCUUCAUGUCUAGCUCUGAGUUUGUUAACAUAUGAAUUGUAACAAUGGGUGGUAGGGGUGGAUUGGUGAUUAGCUCUUUAGGUUUGGAGUUGUCUUCAGGAUUUUGUGGUUUGGUAUAGUUGUUACUGGAGUUGAUUUCCGAGAGGGCUAUUGUAUGUGAGUUUUUGGAUUGACUGUUGUUAUGACCCGACCAAUAAUUUUGAGAAUUUGUGUCACAUUCAGUGGUUUAAGGUCUCGAGCAGCUUCGUAUCAUAUAUUAUGACUUGUGUGUGUGGUCAAGUUCGGUUUUCGAAUGAUUCGGGAUUGAUUUGGAAAAAUAAUUUUUAUUGUAGAAGCUUAAGUGAAAAGAGUUUACCGGAGUUUGAAUUUUGUGUAGACGACUCCGGAAUGGUAUUUUAAUGAUUCCAAUAGCUUCGUAUGAUGAUUUUGGACUUAGGCGUAUGCCCGGAUUUGGAUUUGGAGCUUAGUAGGUUGAUUUGAUGCAUUUUGGCGAAAGUUGAAAAAUUGAAAUGUUUGACCGGGAGUUGACUUUGUUGAUAUCGGUUCGGAUUGCGAUUAUGGGAGUUGAAAUAGCUUCGUUAUGUCAUUUAGGAUUUGCAUGCAAAAUUUGACGUCAUUCCGGGUUGAUUUGAUAUGAUUCUGCAUGAGUCAUAGAAGUUGAAAGUUAAUAAGUUCAUUAAGUUUGAUUUGAGGUGCGAUUCGUAGUUUUGAUGUUGUUUGAUGUGAUUUGAGACCUCGAGCAAGUCCGCAUUAUGCUAUGGGACUUGUUGGUAUGUUAGGACGGGGUCCCGAGGGGCUCGGGUGAGUAUCGGGGUGGUUUAGACCAUUUCUAGGUCAUUUUUAGUUGCUGGUUUUUGACCACAGGGGUAUGCAUCGUGAUCGCGGACAUUGGGUCGCGUUUGCGAAGAGCAAUUUUGCUAUUUGGGCACUGUGAAUCGCGAUCACGGAAGCACUUUCACGAUAACGUUGAGGAAAAUUCUGCUACACUGACCUGACUUUGGCAGCUUAUAUCUUGCAAUCUAUAAGGAAUUUGGAGAUGAUCUAAAAAUAAAAGUUCUUGCCCUUUAUGUCUAGUUUUCAGAAAAUUAAACCGUUUGGCAUUUCGAGUUGUGUAAAAAAGGUAUAAACUACAGGCUAUCUAGGAAGAGUUUUGAAAUCGUUGUUGAAGAAUUUAUCCAUCCUCACUUUGGAAGCUUAUAUCUUGCAAUCUAUAAGGAAUUUAGAGAUGACCUAAAAAUGAAAGUUGUAGCCCUUCGUGUCUAGUUUUCGAAAAAUCAAAUUUUGGUCAUUUGGAUUUUUGCAAAAAAUGUUAUGGCUAUUAUACUACAUGCUGUCUGAGAAGCAUUUGGGAAGAGUUAAUAGAAUUUGUUCAUCGCGAUGCGGGGAAAUGGCCGUGAUCGCAUAGAGUAAAAUUGUUCUGGAAAAUUUGUGCUUCGCGAUCGUGAAGGGUAAAUCCCUGGGCAGCAGAACUUAAGUUCUGAAAAUGAGAUUUCGUCUCAUUUUUCUAUUUUUGGAAUUUUUAGCUCAGUGUGAGGCGAUUUCUCGGGAUAUUUUCAAGGAAUACAUUGGGGUAACAAUUCCUAACUCGAUUUUGGUUAAAUUACACUAAUCAAUUGUUAUUUUUAUUGACAAAUUAGUGAAUUGGGUUGAAAAUGGUAGAAUUUUUCUAGACUUUAAAUUGAGGAUUUGGAGGUCGAGUUAAUGUCGAAAUUUGGUAAAUUUGGUAUGGUUGGACUCGUGGUUGAAUGGGCGUUCGUAUUUUAUAACUUUUGUCGGAUUUCGAGGCAUGGGCCUCAUGUUGACUUUCGGGUUGACUUUUUAGUCUUAAAUUAAAAGGCAAAGUUUUAUUAAUCGAAAUUGUUUCCUAUGAAUUUUAAUGAUGUUAUGAAAUUAUUUUUGGCUAGAUUUGAGCCGUCCAGAUGUCGUUCAACGCGAGAAACCCAUUUUGGAGUAUCGACUAACUUCGUAAAGGUAAGUAUCUUGCCUAACCUUAUGUGAGGGAUGUACCCCUUAGGGAUUGAGUCUUAUGUGAAAUUUGUGUAAUGUGAAAGUCGUGUACGUGAAGUGACAAGUACGUACUCGGGCUUAUAUGUGCAAAUUUUAUCGGUUUAAGCUCUUAGGCUUCUUUUAUGUAUAAAUUGGAGAUCAUGGGCACACAUUAUAUCCUUUAUUUGCCAUGUUCAUCAUUACAUGCUUUAUCUAUAAAUCGUUGUUACCUGCCGCAUUCUUUACUGGCCAAGUUUGUUUUUAUAUGCUUAUUUGGACUUGAUACUACUUUAGCAUCUACAUGAAACCUGUGAUUGUUGAGUUGCCACUUUGUGGAAGAUAUUUUCAUUAUUGAGUUUUUCCUUAAUUAAAUAAUUGGAAUUUAAGUAAUUAAGAGGCAUUAGUUUAAUUUAUUUGAGGUUGUGUUUAAAAGAGAUAUUGUUGUUAUUGAGAUUUUAUAUAUGUCGUGUUGAGUCGUGGGCUAUCUAUUGUGAAAUUAUUUGAUAUCGUUGAACCUUUGGAAAGGUUGUGGCCCACAGAAAUUUGUAAUACGAGUUGAUUAUGUGGUGUUGUUAUGAUAAUAGCACGUGUGAAUUGUUGUGUGAUUUGUAUUAUUGCUUUGCUGAGUAUAAGAGUGGCAUUCCAUUGUUGUAAUUAUGCGGGGCAUAAGGGUGGCAUUUCAAUAUUGUUUUAUGUGUUUUAAUGUUGUCCGGGCGGAGUGAUAACGGUAGCUAUUAUACGAAGUGAUAAGGGAGGCUAUUAUACAGAGAGAUAAGAGUGGUUAUAGGAUAGAUAAGGGUGACUAUUGAUAUUGUUUGGGCGGAGUGAUACAGGUGGCUAUAAGAGAGAUAAGGGUGGCAAUGUUAGGGAUGAUAUGUGAUGAUGUGGGGUUAUUGUGUUAGUGAUUUUUAUGUGAUGGUGUUGCAUUAUUGUGUUGGUGAUUUUGUAUGAUGUUGUGAUUGUCCUUGUGUUUGUUAUACACCUUGUGUAACUUGACUUGUGUUUUCGGUUAGCUACACCUGAGUUGUCCGUGCGAUUUUGAAAGAGAUAUGGGCACGAGGUGCCGUGAAAAUAAGAAAGUAGGUUGAGACUCGUGUUUUAUGAUUAUGAGAUGAGGUAUCACGGAGUGACUUUGUUGUGGAAAAACUUGUAUUUGAAACACUUGUUUAAUUGACUGUACUUGUAUUCCUUAUUUGGUUGGACAAUAUUUAUGGUGUUCUUAUUGCUUUGUUGUUUACAUUACUGGUUGUUUCUUGUUGCCAUCACUACUAUUUGUUUUCCAUUAUUAUCGUAUAUUGCUAUAUUGCACAGUUUAUUUGACUAGUGAGUGACUUGACUCUACCUCGUCACUACUCUACCGAGGUUAGUCUUGAUACUUACUGCGUACCGACUGUGGUGUACUCAUACUACACUUCUGCAUAUAUUUGUGCAGAGUCAGGUAUUGGAGAUAUCGGACUCAGGAAGAGUUAUUGUGUUGAUCGCAAGGAUUCAAGGUAGAGCUGCUUGGUCGUUGCAGUCCCUUGGAGUCUUUCCAUUUUAUUGUACUGUCAAAUAUUAUUCAAACAAUAAUGUAUAUCCAAUCCUUGAGAUCAUUUCAUGUAUUCAGUUAGAGUUCAUGACUCAGUAUUACCAGUCUUGGGAGGUUGUUAUAAUUGUUUCCGUUUUUGGUUUCGAAACUUCUAUUAAAUUCUAUUUUAAAAAAUGACUUGAAUUGUUAUUGUAAUCAGCUUAUCUAGUCUUAGAGACUAUGUGCCAUCAUGAUGCUUGUGGUGGGAUUUUGGGUCGUGACAAGUUGGUAUCAGAGUCUUAGGUUCAUAGGUUCUACGAGUCACCAACUAGUUUAGUAGAGUCUUGCAGAUCAUUACGGAGAUGUCUGUACUUAUCUGUGAGAGGCUACAAAACUAUUAGGAAAUUUCCACUUCUUUCACUCCUUUCGUGCGAAUUUGUUGAUUUUUGAGUUUGAGCCCUUAUAUCUCUAUUCUCACACAGAUGGUGAGGACACGCGCUACCAGGUCAGCUGGACAGACACCCGCGCAACCUACUAGAGCCGAGAGAGGCCGUGGACGAGGUAGAGUUCAGAGAAGGGCACAUGUCGCAGCUAGAGCACCUGUCAAAGCAGCAGUUGAGGAACUGCCAGUAGCUCCGGUUGGGGGACAGGUACCUGAAGCACCUGUUGUUACCCUCGGACUUUAGGAGACUUUAGCACAGUUCCUGAGCAUGUUUGGUAUAUUGACUCAGGCGGGAUUGAUCUCUGUUGCACCAAAUAUUUCACAGAUUGGGAAAGUAUCUCAGACUCCUAGCGCGUGUACUCCAGAUCAGCGGGUUCACAUUGUUCCGGUUCCGGUUGUGGUGCUGGUACAACCUGUUAUUCCGGUUCAGCCUGAGAUUAGGCCAGGGGCAUCAGAAGAGGAUCAAAAGAGGCUUGAGAGCUUCAAAAGGUAAAGUCCACCUACUUUUCGUGGAACGGCUACCGAGGAUGCUCAGGGAUUUCUAGAAAAAUGUCACUGUAUUCUUUGCACCAUGGGUAUUGUGGAUGUGAGCGGAGUUGCCUUUACUACAUUUCAGCUGUCAGGAGCAGCAUAUCAAUGGUGGCAAGUUUAUAAAGAGGGCAGACCAGCCGAUGCAACACCACCCACUUGGGCUCCAUUUUCAGAGAUAUUUUUGAGGGAGUUUGUUCCUCAGACCCUCCGGGAUGCAUGGGGCACAAAGUUUGAACGGUUGUGCCAGGGCACCAUGACGGUGUCGGAAUAUGCCAUCAAUUUCAGUGAGUUAACCCGUCAUGCACCUACUUUAGUUCUUACACUCAGAGAGCGAGUCUGCAGAUUCAUUGAGGGGAUCAGUUAUGAUCUUAAAAUCUGCAUGGCUCGAGAGUUGCAGACUAAUACUCCAUUCCAGCAAGUUGUGGAGAUUUCAAGGAUGUUAGAGCAUGUUCGGGGUGAGGAAAGGGAGUCUAAGGAGGCCAAGAGGUCUCGAAGUUCUGGAGGAUUCAGUGGAUUCUACUCUGCAGGUAUGACUCAUUAUGGCAGAGGCUCGGACAAUCAGCCAGCCUAAUUCGCGCUUCAGACUACUCGUGGUACUCAAGUUAGUCAGGGUACUCAUGUGGGGUAGUCAUCUUUUAGUUCACCACCGGCACGGGAUUCUUACAGUAGUUAUUCCAGUUAUACGGCACAAACUCAGUAUGAGCAGCCGCGCCCGCAGAGGGGUUGUUAUGAGUGUGGUGAUACUAGGCACAUCAUGAGAGAUUUUCCCAGACUUGAGAGAGGUGGAUUUCAUCAAAGCACUCAAGCUACAGGCUCUGUUCCAGUUAAUACUCCACCUGCACAACCAGUUAGGGGUGGAGGACAGGCUGGUAGAGGGCGCCCUAGAGGGAUAGGCUUGGCCCAUUGAUAUAAUUUCUAUGGGAUGGCUGAGGCCACUACACCAUAUGGUGUUGUUAUCAGUAUGAUUUUGAUGUGCUAUAGAGGAGCACUAUUCUUAUUUUGAUUCAGUUCUGAUUAUCGAGGUGAGACCUCCUAUCAUGCUCCACAUUUGGUGAGUUUCGUGAGUUUGUACUCCGCUCAUGUGUUUAUCCAUGUUGGGAGAUUCUGUAGUGUUAGCCCAUGUCUAUCCUUUUGUUUAUGUUCACUACUGAGAGCUAUGAGGCUAGAAGUGACUUUUUGUUACUCAAUACAGUUAUUUUGAUGUGAUUUUCGGAUGAUUCGAUUGUAAAUUAUGAUUUAAAUGCCUACCGGUAUGGGGGCUCAUUAUGUAUUAUGAUUUUUGUUUAACAAAAAUAAUGGAAGGUUUUGAUUACUUUAUUACUUGUGAUUCAGAGUUAAGGAUGGGACCCUCGCGUUCCAUAUGGUUUGAUAUGUUUGAUCCGGGCUACGUACCGCGGGAAGUUAUAUCAGGAUGACAUCCUUGUGGUUAAUUCAUGUGUUUUAAUUCUCCCUUGUGAAAUUGAUUUGUAUUAUAGUACAGAUAUAGAGUUAUGCCUUUUGGGCUUAUUUGAUAGUUCUCUUAUGUGUUUCUCUUUGCAUAAUUAGUCAUAUUUGCGUUGUGUUUAUUGGGAUUUAGCUUAUGAAGUGUGUUCCUAGAUGGCAUUAAAAGUGACUCAUUGAUUCGGAUGAAUAAUUACAAGGUCUUCAGGUUUCUUACAUCGUUGUCAGUAUUGUGAUGGUUUGAAACAAGGUUUAACGUAAGAUGUGGUUAAUUGUCGGUGUUGUAUUUUGAUUAUGGGCAGUUAUUGUGGACAGAGUUAUUAUUAUGGGCCUAUGUAUGAUGUGUUACGUUAUGUGAUUGUGUCAUGCGAGAGUAGGCAUGAAUUGUUAUAACUGGUUUAGGCUGAUAUCGUGUGUUGAUGUGGAAAUCGGGUCUUUUAGAAAUGAUCAGAUAGUGAGAAAUAUGGUUUUAAGGUUUAUGAGUGUGGAUAGUAGAAAUAAUCUUCAAUUGAGAUGGUGUUAUCAGACUUAUUUCGAUUGGGGUGACAUGGGAUCACCCGCGAGUAUAUGUGUAAGAGUACGUUCAGUUAUUUGAUAACUUCGAAAUGGUUCCUAACACGUUCGAGUACAAACGAUUGUUUAAGAGGGGGAGAAUGUAACGAUCCGACCGGUCAUAUUUAGAAUUUACGUCUUAUUCAGCGGUUUGAGGGAUCGAGUAGCUUCAUAUCAUGUAUUAUGACUUAUAUGUGUGGUCGAGUUCGGUUUUCGGAUGAUUCAGGGUUAAUUUGGAAGAACAAUUAUCGUUUUAGAAGCUUAAGUUAAAAGAGUUGAUCGGAGUUUGACUUUUGUAUAGACAACUCCGGAAUGGUAUUUUGAUGAUUCCAAUAGUUUCGUAUGGUGAUUUUGGACUUAGGCAUAUGUCCGGAUUUGGAUUUGGAGGUUAGUAGGUGGAUUUGAUGCAUUUUGGCGUAAGUUGAAAAGUUGAGAGGUUUGACCGGGAGUUAACUUUGUUGAUAUCGAGUUCGGAUUGCGAUUCCGGGAGUUGAAAUAGCUCCAUUAUGUCAUUUGGGACUUGAAUGCAAAAUUUGACGUUAUUCUGGGUUGAUUUGAUAUGAUUCUACACGAGUCGUAGAAGUUCAGUGUUCAUAAGUUCAUUAUGUUUGAUUUGAGGUGCGAUUCAUAGUUUUGAUGUUGUUUGAUGUGAUUUGAGGCCUCCAGCAGGUCCGCGUUAUGUUAUGGGACUUGUUGGUAUGUUAGGACGGGGUCCCGAGGGGCUCAGAUGUGUUUCGGGGUAGUUUCGGACCAUUUCUAGGCCAUUUUUAGUUGCUGGUUUUUUUUCCACAGGGGUAUGCAUCGGGAUCGCGGACAUUGGGUCUUCGCGAAGAGCAAUUUGGCUGUUUGGGCACCUUGAAUCGCGAUCGCGGAAGCACUUUCGCGAUCGCGUAGAGGAAAAUUCUGCUGCACUGACCCGAGUUUGGAAGCUUAUAUCUUGCAAUCUAUAAGGAAUUUGGAGAUGAUCUUAAAAUGAAACUUGCAGCCCUUUGUGUCUAGUUUUUAGAAAAUCAAAUGGUUUGGCAUUUGGAGUUGUGUAAAAAACGUUAUGGUGGAUAUACUAAAGGUUGUCUGAAAAGAGCUUGGAAAUUACUGUUGAAGAAUUUGUUCAUCCUGACUUUGGAAGCUAAUAUCUUGCAAUCCAUGAGAAAUUUGGAGAUAACCCAAAAAUGAAAGUUGUAGCCCUUCGUUUCUCGGGAGAUUUUCAAGGAAAACAAUGGAGUAAGAAUUCCUAACUCGAUUUUGGUUAAAUAACGCGAAUCUAUUGUUAUUUUUAUCAACAAAUUAGUGAAUUGGGUUGAAAAUGGUUGAAAUUUUCAAGACUUUAAAUUGAGGAUUUGGAGGUCGAGUUGAUGUCAGAAUUUGGUAAAUUUGGUAUGCUUGGACUCGUGGUUGAAUGUGCAUUCGUAUUUUGUAACUUUUGUCAUUGUUAAUCAUUGUUACCUGCCUCAUUCUUUACUUGCCGAGUUUGUUUUUAUAUGCUUAUUUGGACUCGUUACUACUUUAACAUCUAUGUGAAACCUGUGAUUGUUGAGUUGCCACUUCAUGAAAGAUAUUUUCAUUAUUGAGUUUUUCCUUAAUUAAAUAAUUGGAAUUUAAGUAAUCAAGAGGCAUUAGUUUAUUUUACUUGAGGUUGUGUUUAAAAGAGAUAUUGUUGUUAUUGAGAUUUUAUAUACGUCGUGUUGAGCCGUGGGCUAUCUCUUGUGAAAUUGUUUGAUAUCGUUGAACCUUUGAAAAGGUUUUGGCCUACGAGAAUUUGCAAUACGAGUUGAUUAUGUUGUGUUGUUGUGAUAAUAGCAUGUGUGAAUUGUUGUGUGAUUUGGAUUAUUUAUUUGCGGAGUAUAAGGGUGACAUUCCACUGUUAUGAUCAUGUGGGGUAUAAGGGUGGUAUUUCACUGUUGCUAUAUGUGUUUUAAUAUUGUCUGGGCGGAGCGAUAAGCGUGGCUAUUAUACGGAGCGAUAAAAAGGCUAUUAUACGGAGCUAUAAGGAAGGCUAUUGAUAUUAUCUGGGCAGAGUGAUAUGAGUGGCUAUAGGAGAGAUAAGUGUGGCAAUGUCAGGGAUGAUAUGUGAUGAUGUGUGGUUAUUGUGUAAGUGAUUUUUAUGCGAUGAUGUGAUGUUAUUGUGUUGGUGAUUUUGUAUGAUGUUGUGAUUCUCCUUGUGUUUGUUAUACACUUUGCGUAACUUAACUUGUGUUUUCGGUUAGCUAAUUGAUAUCCUUGAUAUUCUCUUAUUGAUUUGGGUUUUAGUAAUAUACUUGCACAUGCAUACACUGUAGCAUGCCACCUAUACUAGCCCACAAGUACGUAACCUGAUAAUUAUCUGAUUCGUGUUGAAAUUGUGGGCACGAGGUGCCUUGAGUAUAUAAUGAUUAUGUUAUUGGCACGUGAACUGUCCGUGCAGAUGUGAUAUGAAAUGUUGGCACGAGGUGUCGUGAGUAUAUAAUGAUUAUGAUAUUGGCACGUGAACUGUCCGUAGAAUUGUGAUAUGAGAUGUGGGCAUGAGAUGCCGUGAGUAAAUGAUGAUUUUAUUAUUGGCAUGUGAGUUGUCCAUGCAGUUUUUAUAUGUUGAUAUUUUAGAACGUGAGUUGUCCGUACGGUUGUGAUAGAGAUAUGGGCACGAGGUGCCGUGAAAAUAUGAAAAUGGGCCGAGACCCGUAUUUUAUGAUUAUGAGAUGAGGUAACACGGAGUGCCUUUGUUGUGGAAAAACUUGUAUUUGAAAGACUUGUUUAAUUGACUGUACUUGUGUUCCUUAUUUGGUUGAACAAUAUUUAUGGUGUUCUUAUUGCCUUGUUUUUUAUAUUACUGGUUGUUUCUUGUUGCCAUCACUCCUAUUUGUUUUCCAUUAUUAUCGUAUAAUGCUAUAUUGCAUAGUUUAUUUGACUAGUGAGUAUCUUGACCUAAGUUGCUCCGACAUAGUGGUUUAGCUGUCGUACCCAUGUCGACACGAUAUUAGUAUGGGUGUGGGUCUGGGAUCCGUACAGAAUCUGGUAAAAUAAUUUGGGUACUUUGACCACGACGGACGAAAAAAGUCGAGACGAGGUACAAUUUGAAUCCCGAAAUCAAAACCAAAACUGGGGAAGAAAAUAACUUACUGUAUCUAGGAAAUCAAUCAUUUACUUAUCUACAACUUGAGAAUAAAAAAGAAAUCCACAUUUUACAAGUUAUAUGUAAGUAUUCCUCAAAUAUUUCUUAUAAUUUAGAGAUAGUUUUAUAUUUUUAUUUUCUUGAAUUAUUUUUAGCCGGGUCCCUGCACCCGUAUCCGUACUAGGAUUUCUAUACCCGAAUCUUAGAAUUUACAUAUCCGACCUCUAGAUUCGCACCCGUGUCGGACACCCACACCCGUGUCCGAGCAACAUAGGUCUUGGCUGUACCUUGUCACUACUCCACCGAGGUUAGUCUUGAUACUUAUUGGGUGCCGACUGUGGUGUACUCAUACUAUACAUCUGCACAUUUUUGUGUAGCACCAGGUAUUGGAGAUAUCGGACUCACGAAGAGUUAGUGUAUUGAUCGCAAGGGUUCAAGGUAGAGCUGCUUGGUCAUUGCAAUCCCUUGGAAUCUUUCCGUUUUAUUGUACUGUCAAAUAUUAUUCAAACAGUAAUGUAUAUUCGAUCCAUGAGAUUAUUUCAUGUAUUCAGUUAGAGUUUGUGACUCAGUAUUACCAGUCUUGGGAGGUUGUUAUAAUUGUUUCUGCUUUUGAUUUUGACACUUGUAUUAAAUUCUAUUUCAAAAAAAUGGCUUUAAUUAUUAUUGUAAUCGGCUUACCUAGUCUUAGAGACUAAGUGUCAUUACGACGCCUGCGGUUGGAUUUUGGAUCGUGACAAUAGUUUUAUCAAAGUUGGAAUAAACUUUAGGAAGGGUGUGUUUGUUUGUACAGGGGUGAUAUUUCGAGGGAGCCUGAGGUUGGGUCAAAGGGGUAGGUUGAGGGAUCUUUUCAACAGACUUUUUUGGGCUGGCAGAUCUGCGGUGUGGUGGAUUUCUGUGUUACUAAAUCUUUGCACAGGGGUUCAUUAGCAUUGGGUUGAGUUUCUAUGAUAACUAGACUAACAAGGGAAGCCUUAGAAUUCAAAUUACUAUUUUGCGUGUAAGAAUACCUGAUUCUUUGUAUUGAGUUGUCGAGGCAGCCUGCUGAUCUUUGGAUUGAAUGGGGUUGUUAGAAACAAUGUCCAUAGUAACAUGAGGCGCCUCCAAUUAGUUUGGAAUCAUGUGAUCAGCUGUAUCACCAUCUCCGACCAACUGUGACUUAGCUGAGUUUUGUAGGCAAUUAGAGCAAUCAAUUCCCACGUUGGAUUGAUGUGAAACUUUGAUGUGUAGAUCCUCAUGCUCCAAAAAAGAAUCUCCGUUGGAAUUGCCUGAAUUGAGCAAGAAUUAACGUUGGCAUUUUGUCGAACACCUGCAGCAUCCUCACGGUCUGGGCAUUCACUUUGAAAAUCAAAGCGAUUAGUUGGUACCCAUGGUGAAUUGAGUUGAUAUUCAUGUUCUCCUCAUCAAUGUGAAGAUAUUGGCAUUGAGUUUGUAUCAACUAGACCAUCGGAACUCCAUCUCCGGCCAACUGGAGAUCAUUGGAGCUCUACAACUGACCGGGGACCUCUUUUACCACGGUAAAAGGCUCCAAAUAUUUUGAUGUAGAUAGAACGCAACCUGGGGAAGAUGUUUCAAUGUUUGAAACAACUCGAUUUGGCUCAGAAUUCACAAGGGAAAUAUUUGAAGAUGCCAGGCAACUUUUCUAUAGUGAUUCCAGCGCCAUUUUUGAGAUUUGCAGUAGCUGGGGAGGAGUUUUGGGAUGAAACCAAUUGGGGUUUGUGCGCAAUGAUUGGGUGCAUCUUUUGGGACUGAUCCGAUGGUUGUUUACUGCCGGACAACGGAGUAGUGACCAUUUAUCUGUCCAUGUGCUACUAUUAACUUCAGUCGCCUGUACAGAGAGCUUUUGCAAUAAUUUUGAGCGACUGGUGCAAAUGAAGCACGGAUGGGGUACAAUGUUUAGGUUACAAGGCUUACGUUUUAGGGUCUAGAGUUCAGAGUUAAGGAUUUAUAAACCAUGUGAGGAGCUUAUUGCAACGAGAUUUUGAUGGAUGACAACAUACGUUGUUAGCACUAUACAUCUCUACGUGGCCUUCACUUAAC